rnacentral:rRNA from 4 species
GGUUGACCUCGGAUCAGGUAGGGAUACCCGCUGAACUUAAGCAUAUCAAUAAGCGGAGGAAAAGAAACCAACCGGGAUUGCCUCAGUAACGGCGAGUGAAGCGGCAAGAGCUCAAAUUUGAAAUCUGGCCCCCUCGGGGUCCGAGUUGUAAUUUGCAGAGGAUGCUUCGGGUGCGGCCCCCGUCUAAGUGCCCUGGAACGGGCCGUCAUAGAGGGUGAGAAUCCCGUCUGGGACGGGGUGUCCGCGUCCGUGUGAAGCUCCUUCGACGAGUCGAGUUGUUUGGGAAUGCAGCUCUAAAUGGGUGGUAAAUUUCAUCUAAAGCUAAAUACUGGCCGGAGACCGAUAGCGCACAAGUAGAGUGAUCGAAAGAUGAAAAGCACUUUGAAAAGAGAGUUAAAAAGCACGUGAAAUUGUUGAAAGGGAAGCGCUUGCGACCAGACUCGCCCGCGGGGUUCAGCCGGCAUUCGUGCCGGUGUACUUCCCCGCGGGCGGGCCAGCGUCGGUUUGGGCGGCCGGUCAAAGGCCCCCGGAAUGUAGUGCCCCUACGGGGGCACCUUAUAGCCGGGGGUGCAAUGCGGCCAGCCUGGACCGAGGAACGCGCUUCGGCACGGACGCUGGCAUAAUGGUUGCAAACGACC